AAUAAGAGGAUGACAAAUCAGAUUUUUCCUCCUAAUUUUCAAUUUUUUCCUCCUUCAAAAUCAACUAAAACUGCUAAAAAUUAGGGAGCAAAAUCUGAUUUGUCAUUCUCCUAUU
rfam:Gossypium hirsutum cultivar TM-1 chromosome 8, whole genome shotgun sequence